AAAAAUAAGAAACUGUAUCAAGAAAUUUUUUGUCUCCAGCUAACUUAAAGAUAAUAAUUCAGAUUACGGUAUGAUAAUUGAAUAUCAGCAAGAAUACUAGUUAAUAUUUCACUAUGCUUUGAUUUAUUUUUCAUGGAAACUUGAGAUGGCAUAAUGUAGAAAUUAAUGUAAUUUUUUCUGAGAAGAACAUGAAAAAAAAAAUUUGUGUAUGACUGAUUUUCUUGUUUGCUGCAUUAUUUGUUUUCUUAGGUCUCAAAAAAAUCAUUUUCAAGGCAACGGAAUCCAGCAUCUGGCUCUAGGUAUUCUAUUUCCUAUAGUCUCUUAGAUGCAAAAUGGCAGUU
rnacentral:misc_RNA from 1 species